AUUGAACGCUGGCGGCAGGCCUAACACAUGCAAGUCGAGCGUGCGGCGGACGGGUGAGUAAUGCCUGGGAAUUGCCCAGUCGAGGGGGAUAACAGUUGGAAACGACUGCUAAUACCGCAUACUAUUGGAUUGCACAGUGGUGAUUAGCUAGUUGGUGAGGUAAUGGCUCAACAAGGCGACGAUCCCUAGCUGGUCUGAGAGGAUGAUCAGCCACAUUGGAACUGAGACAAGGGCCAGACUCCUACGGGAGGCAGCAGUGGGGAAUAUUGCACAAGGGGGGAAAGCCUGAUGCAGCCAUGCCGCGGGUAUGAAGAAGGCCGUCGGUUUGUAAAGCACUUUCAGCGGGGAGGCGUUACUCGCAGAAGAAGCACCGGCUAACUCCGUGCCAGCAGCCGCGGUAAUUC
rnacentral:rRNA from 1 species